rnacentral:rRNA from 1 species
GACGAACGCUGGCGGCGUGCUUAACACAUGCAAGUGGAGCGACGAACCAGGGCUUGCCCUGGGGCAGAGCCGCGAACGGGUGAGUAACACGUGGGUUACCUGCCCCGAUGACCGGGACAACCCGAGGAAACUCGGGCUAAUACCGGAUGUGUCCGAAAGGGGAAAGGAAGCUUCGGCCUCCGCAUCGGGAUGGGCCCGCGGCCCAUUAGCUUGUUGGUGAGGUAACGGCUCACCAAGGCUGCGAUGGGAGCUGGUCUGAGAGGACGAUCAGCCACACUGGGACUGAGACACGGCCCAGACUCCUACGGGAGGCAGCAGUGGGGAAUCUUGCGCAAUGCGCGAAAGCGUGACGCAGCAACGCCGCGUGGGGAAGAAGCUUUCGGUUGUAAACCCUUUCAGUGGAGAANUCGCCGGUGAACAGCCGGCCGGAGUGACGGUACCUUCACAAGAAGCACCGGCUAACUACGUGCCAGC